AGUAGGGAAUCUUCCGCAAUGGACGAAAGUCUGACGGAGCAACGCCGCGUGAGUGAUGAAGGCUUUCGGGUCGUAAAACUCUGUUGUUAGGGAAGAACAAGUGCUAGAAUNNNAGCUGGCACCUUGACGGUACCUAACCAGAAAGCCACGGCUAACUACGUGCCAGCAGCCGCGGUAAUACGUAGGUGGCAAGCGUUAUCCGGAAUUAUUGGGCGUAAAGCGCGCGCAGGUGGUUUCUUAAGUCUGAUGUGAAAGCCCACGGCUCAACCGUGGAGGGUCAUUGGAAACUGGGAGACUUGAGUGCAGAAGAGGAAAGUGGAAUUCCAUGUGUAGCGGUGAAAUGCGUAGAGAUAUGGAGGAACACCAGUGGCGAAGGCGAC
rnacentral:rRNA from 1 species